ensembl:lncRNA
AUGGAAAAGAAAUGCAAAAAAGCAAAAUGGCUGUCUGGGGAGGCCUUACAAAUAGCUGUGAAAAGAAGAGAAGUGAAAAGCAAAGGAGAAAAGGAAAGAUAUAAGCAUCUGAAUGCAGAGUUCCAAAGAAUAGCAAGGAGAGAUAAGAAAGCCUUCCUCAGCAAUCAAUGCAAAGAAAUAGAGGAAAACAACAGAAUGGGAAAGACUAGAGAUCUCUUCAAGAAAAUUAGAGAUACCAAGGGAACAUUACAUGCAAAGAUGGGCUUGAUAAAGGACAGAAAUGCUAUGGACCUAACAGAAGCAGAAGAUAUUAAGAAGAGGUGGCAAGAAUACACAGAAGAACUGUACAAAAAAGAUCUUCAUGACCAAGAUAAUCAUGAUGAUAUGAUCACUGACCUAGAGCCAGACAUCCUGGAAUGUGAAGUCAAGUGGGCCUUAGAAGGCGUCACUAUGAACAAAGCUAGUGGAGUUGAUGGAAUUCCAGUUGAGCUAUUUCAAAUCCUGAAAGAUGAUGCUGUGAAAGUACUACACUCAAUAUGCCAACAAAUUUGGAAAACUCAGCAGUGGCCACAGGACUGGAAAAGGUCAGUUUGCAUUCCAAUCCCAAAGAAAGACAAUGCCAAAGAAUGCUCAAACUACCAUACAAUUGCACUCAUCUCACAUGCUAGUAAAGUAAUGCUCAAAAUUCUCCAAGCCAGGCUUCAGCAAUAUGUGAACCGUGAACUUCCUGAUGUUCAAGCUGGUUUUAGAAAAGGCAGAGGAACCAGAGAUCAAAUUGCCAACAUCUGCUGGAUCAUGGAAAAAGGAAGAGAGUUCCAGAAAACUAUCUAUUUCUGCUUUAUUGACUAUGCCAAAGCCUUUGACUGUGUGGACCACAAUAAACUGUGGAAAAUUCUGAAAGAGAUGGGAAUACCAGACCGCCUGACCUGCCUCUUGAGAAACCUAUAUGCAGGUCAGGAAGCAACAGUUAGAACUGGACAUGGAACAAUGACUGGUUCCAAAUAG